UUUUUGCAGUUUAAUUCUCAGAGUUCUUCUAUCUCUUCUCAAGGGGGCCUUGGGCUAGGGGUUCAGGGACCAGACGCUGGGCAAACAAAAAGUGACGAGCAACAAGGCUUGGUCGAUGAUGCUGGUGUGGAGUUUGCUGCAACAACUGGACGGAUUAAGCACACCAAUGAAGAUGAAAUGAAGGCUCCUUACUCGGUUGCCACGCGGAUGCUCUUUGGACUACGAUAUGGACAUGAAGGCAUUUGUUUUAGUGCCAAAUAUUACUUACUAAUGCCCGCAAAGUAUCGU